rnacentral:rRNA from 1 species
CCUACGGGUUGCACCAGUGGGGAAUAUUGCACAAUGGGCGCAAGCCUGAUGCAGCCAUGCCGCGUGUGUGAAGAAGGCCUUCGGGUUGUAAAGCACUUUCAGCGGGGAGGAAGGCGGUGAGAUUAAUACUCUCACCGAUUGACGUUACCCGCAGAAGAAGCACCGGCUAACUCCGUGCCAGCAGCCGCGGUAAUACGGAGGGUGCAAGCGUUAAUCGGAAUUACUGGGCGUAAAGCGCACGCAGGCGGUUGAUUAAGUUAGAUGUGAAAUCCCCGGGCUUAACCUGGGAAUGGCAUCUAAGACUGGUCAGCUAGAGUCUUGUAGAGGGGGUAGAAUUCCAUGUGUAGCGGUGAAAUGCGUAGAGAUGUGGAGGAAUACCGGUGGCGAAGGCGGCCCCCUGGACAAAGACUGACGCUCAGGUGCGAAAGCGUGGGGAGCAAACAGGAUUAGAUACCCCAGUAGUC